ensembl:snRNA U4 U4 spliceosomal RNA
AGCUUUGCACAGUGGCAGUGAGUGGCCAGUGAGGUUUAUCCGAGGCAUGAUUAUUGCUAAUUAAAAACUAAACAGAAGAAAUGUCACCAAACGUAAUGACAAAUGUUAUAACCCUUAACACUAUGACAUAGUUCUGUACGGAGAGG